UACGAAGGGGACUAGCGUUGUUCGGAUUUACUGGGCGUAAAGCGCGCGUAGGCGGAUCGCUAAGUCAGGGGUGAAAUCCCAGGGCUCAACCCUGGAACUGCCUUUGAUACUGACGAUCUGGAGAUCGGGAGAGGUUGGUGGAAUUCCGAGUGUAGAGGUGAAAUUCGUAGAUAUUCGGAGGAACACCAGAAGCGAAGGCGGCUCACUGGCCCGAUACUGACGCUGAGGCGCGAAAGCGUGGGGAGCAAACAGG
rnacentral:rRNA from 1 species